UGACCAUCGCAGGGAAGAGAUCGUCGCGACACGCGACGGCGCCGAAGGAGCAACCGCCCCGGAAACUCUCAGGCAAAAGGACCCGCGACGGAAU
rnacentral:ncRNA from 2 species